GCCGAGGUAGCCUAGCUGGCGGGGCGCCUGACUCAUAAUCAGGAGGUCGGGGGUUCAAAUCCCCCCCUCGGCA
rfam:Geoglobus ahangari strain 234, complete genome.